CAGCGAAGGGUGGCGCUAUUUCACCUAGUGACCGUGGUGUGAAAAUGUUUUUUUGAUGACACUGCGGUGGUAGUAGUUAGUAAGCAGCAGUAAUGCUGUGUUCAACUACUUGUGGGAACUUGGAAACUCGGAAAUGUCCGACUUGCUAACUGGUGAUAGUUAUACACGUGCGGUGUUGAACGACUCAUCAGGUCGGACAUUUCUUAGGUCAUAGUUCCGACUAGUAUUUUAACGCGGCCUAAGUAGGCAGGCACCCCUCACGAGCGAUCUAUUGUGAUCAUCGGUUCGCACAGCUGGUCUGUUCUCCUACCGAAAAGGGAACGGAACAUUCGCUACGGCUUCUUUUCCACCAGGUUCUUAACUUCGAAUCCUCAAUAGUCAUGCUGGAAGCGACACCUUCGCAGAUUUAGGCGACAUUAUCGGAGAUAAUAAACUAGCACACGCAGACAACAAAUUAUUCCUCUUUUUACGGCGUGUGGAAAGACUGCAUCCGGACUGAAAAGAAACUCCGGGGACGGGGACACUGGUCGGAACAACGCACAUCGUUUCUGCUCAGCUCUCCUCAACUCCUGCCUGUUCUUUGUCUACAACUCAACUCUCCUCAAAACUCCUGCCUGUUCUGUGUCUACAGCUCAGCUCUCCUCAAAACUCCUGCCUGUUCUGUCUACAGCUCAGCUCUCCUCAACUCCUGCCUGUUCUGUGUCUACAGCUCAGCUCUCCUCAACUCCUGCCUGUUCUGUGUCUACAGCUCAGUCUCCUCAACUCCUGCCUGUUCUGUGUCUACAGCUCAGCUCUCCUCAAAACUCCCUGCCUGUUCUGUGUCUACAGCUCAGCUCCUCAAAACUCCUGCCUGUUCUGUGUCUACAGCUCAGCUCUCCUCAAAACUCCUGCCUGUUCUGUGUCUACCGCUCAGCUCUCCUCAAAUCCUGCUGUUCUGUGUCUACAGCUCAGCUCUCCUCAAAAUCCUGCCUGUUCUGUGUCUACAGCUCAGCUCUCCUCAAACUCCUGCCUGUUCUGUGUCUCAGCUCAGCUCUCCUCAAACUCCUGCCUGUUCUGUGUCUACAGCUCAGCUCUCCUCAACUCCUGCCUGUUCUGUGUCUACAGCUCAGCUCUCCUCAAAACUCCGCCUGUUCUGUGUCUACAGCUAGCUCUCCUCAAAACUCCUACCUGUUCUGUCUCCACUCUGUCUCCCAGUGACCCAGUGUGAUGUAAGAGCAUGUUCCUGGUAACUCCUGUCUGUGCCCUCGCAGCAGGAAGCCCCACUUCUCUCCUCACAUGAGGGCCUUACUAAGUGUGCUAUUUAAAGGCAGCAGCCCAGCAGAACUUUCCUUCACGCAUGUGUUCAUUGUCUUCUCUGAGUGAUCGAGAAGGCUGCUCUUUACGGGCCAAAGCUGACUACGACCUGAGCGAGCUCAUUCGUGGUACUGGAUCGUACCUGCACAAUAGAAAAGGUCAGUAGGUCAGGGCUAGUGACCUCUUCUCUCUUCCACAUCCUGUGGUUUGCCCGUCUUCCUGGUCGCCGGUGGGCCCUGUGGCAGUCGCUUGGUCACAUGACAGCGUGCUUUGGUGACGACCACCUUGUUUCCCCCUGCCCAGGGCCUGUGUGCCCUGAACCGUUCUCUCACCCUCCUCUCCCUCUCCUCCUCUCCCAUGCAUUAACAGUUACAGGAUGCUACAGUAGUGAAAGGACAGUGCUGGUGGUUAGCUUGUGUACUAUCCUUUAUGGAGCCCAGAGCUGUCAUAAGGCCCAGAGCUGUCAUAAGUAGGCCCAGAGCUGUCAUAAGGCCCAGAGCUGUCAUAAGGCCCAGAGCUGUCAAAAGGCCCAGAGCUGUCAAAUAGGCCCAGAGCUGUCAUAAGUAAGGCCCAGAGCGUCAUAAGUAGCCCAGAGCUGUCAUAAGUAAGCCCAGAGCUGUCCUAAGUAAGCCCGAGCUGUCCAUAGUA
ensembl:lncRNA